rnacentral:piRNA from 1 species
UAUUGUAACUUUAGUAAUGUC